UACGGGGGGGGCAAGCGUUGUUCGGAAUUACUGGGCGUAAAGGGCGCGUAGGCGGUCAGACUAAGUCCAAUGUGAAAUACCAAGGCUUAACCUUGGCAGGUCGUUGGAUACUGGUCGGCUAGAGUGUGGAAGGGGUUGCUGGAAUUCUUGGUGUAGCGGUGAAAUGCGUAGAUAUCAAGAGGAACACCAGAGGCGAAGGCGGGCAACUGGGCCAAACACUGACGCUGGAUGCGCGAAAGCUAGGGGAGCAAACAGG
rnacentral:rRNA from 1 species